rnacentral:rRNA from 1 species
GACGAACGCUGGCGGCGUGCUUAACACAUGCAAGUCGAACGGAAAGGCCCCUUUGGGGGUACUCGAGUGGCGAACGGGUGAGUAACACGUGAGUAACCUGCCCUUGACUUCGGGAUAACUUCAGGAAACUGGGGCUAAUACCGGCUAGGAAUCCUUGCUGCAUGGUGGGGGUUGGAAAGCUUCGGCGGUUUUGGAUGGACUCGCGGCUUAUCAGCUUGUUGGUGGGGUAGUGGCUUACCAAGGCUUUGACGGGUAGCCGGCCUGAGAGGGCGACCGGCCACAUUGGGACUGAGAGACGGCCCAGACUCCUACGGGAGGCAGCAGUGGAGAAUAUUGCACAAUGGGCGGAAGCCUGAUGCAGCAACGCCGCGUGCGGGAUGACGGCCUUCGGGUUGUAAACCGCUUUCAGCAGGGGCGAAGCUUGUGGUGACGGUACCUGCAGAAGAAGCACCGGCUAACUACGUG